GACGAACGCUGGCGGCGUGCCUAAUACAUGCAAGUAGAACGCACAGUUUAUACCGUAGCUUGCUACACCAUAGACUGUGAGUUGCGAACGGGUGAGUAACGCGUAGGUAACCUGCCUGGUAGCGGGGGAUAACUAUUGGAAACGAUAGCUAAUACCGCAUAAUAUUAAUUAUUGCAUGAUAAUUAAUUGAAAGGUGCAAUUGCACCACUACCAGAUGGACCUGCGUUGUAUUAGCUAGUAGGUGAGGUAACGGCUCACCUAGGCGACGAUACAUAGCCGACCUGAGAGGGUGAUCGGCCACACUGGGACUGAGACGCGGCCCAGACUCCUACGGGAGGCAGCAGUAGGGAAUCUUCGGCAAUGGACGAAAGUCUGACCGAGCAACGCCGAGUGAGUGAAGAAGGUUGUCGGAUCGUAAAGCUCUGUUGUAAGGGAAGAACGGGUGUGAGAGUGGAAAGUUCACACUGUGACGGUAUCUUACCAGAAAGGGACGGCUAACUACGUG
rnacentral:rRNA from 1 species